rnacentral:lncRNA from 10 species
UCAAAAAAAAAAAAAAAAAGCUGGGUGUGGUGGCACAUGCCUGUCCUCCCAGCUACUCGGGAAGCUGAGGUGGGAGGAUUGCUUGAGUCCCUGGGAGGUCAUGGCUGCAGUGAGCUGUGAUUGCACCACUGCCCAGCCUGAGUGACAAGAGCAAGACCCUCUCUCUAAAAAAUAAGAUGCUAAAGCUUUUUGUGUGUUGCAUUACAGAAAGGUACAGAAAAAUUAGUUUCGUACUUGAGCUGAGUUUUGCUGUAGAAACCUGCCCCUGGUUCCCAGGCAUCUUCCACCAUGCAGUUGAAAGCUCAUCAGAAGAUCAGGAAGGAAUUUGGAGAGGUGAAGAGAGGCAGGCAGGGUGCCCGGCACCACCCCUCUCUAGCAGAGAAGCUCAGUUUUCUUAGGCAGGGUUUCAACUGAGAAGAAUUUACAGGUUACAGUAAAGAAAUCAUCUUGGGCCGGGUGCGGUGGCUCACGCCUGUAAUCCCAGCACUUUGGGAGGCCGAGGUGGGUGGAUCACCAGAGGUCGGGAAUUUGAGACCAGCCUGACCAACAUGGAGAAACCCCAUCUCUACUAAAAAAAAUAAUAAUAAUAAUACAAAAUUAGCCAGGCGUGCUGGAGCAUGCCUGUAGUCCCAGCUACUUGGGAGGCUGAGGCAGGAGAAUCUCUUGAACCCGGGAGGCGGAGGUUGCAGUGAGCCAAGAUCGCACCAUUGCACUCCAGCCUGGGCUACAAGAGCGAAACUCCGCCUCUAAAUAAAUAAAUAAAUAAAUAAAUAAAUAAGCCUUAUUGGUUUUGGUAGAUUUUAGCCAGCUUCUUUACUGCAAACUGUUUUAUCAGUAAGGUCUUUAUGACCUGUGUCUUGUGCUAACCCACUUUUUUCUGUUUUAUAUCAGAAAAGUCUACCGAUUUUUCUUUUUUUAAGUUCAAAAACUACUAUAGCAUACCACCCACCAUACCAACCUACUAGCCGUGUGACGCUGGACCCCUCUGUGCAACAGGAAAGGGCCUAGGUGACCCCCUGUUUCUUCUGAGGGACGAUCAGAGGCAGGAACUCUCCCCCCACCCCCACCAUAGGUGUCUUCUGUGGGGUCCAGAGUGGCUCUACCACUGCAAAAUGCUUUCUGUGAUUUCAACUGAGGAUAUCUUGCUACAAAGGCAGAGGGAAGUGGGGAAAGCUGUUUUCAGUCCUUAAAGGGCUGAAGUGCAGCCCCCUGAGCUUGGUGCCAACUUGGGGUUCUCCACACACCCUUUCACCAGCCAAGUGUGCGUGUCCAGCCCUGUUCACCGGGUGGGACUGAGCUGGACCACAGUGAAGGAGGGGAGGACUCCGGGAUUUCCACAGCAGGUUCUUUCCUUAGUUCAUCCAUCCUCAGCCACUGUGCAGCCAUCAAUACGGUGCCCCUAGGGUGGGCCAGACUGUGCUGGGUCCACGAGAUACAAUGAAUGAUGAGCAACACUGAGCUGUCCCUGUCCCAAAGAGCUUACCUCGAGUAGGGGGUCAGACUUGGGCAGGCACACAGAUACUUAUGUAAUUAUCCACUUAAAAGUGCAGCAGAGGCCCAGGGAAAUGCCAGCAGGGGCAUCGCAUAGGUUGUGAAUUUAGUUUUUGAGUUUUUUUGUUUUUUUUUUUUCCUGGAGAUAGGGUCUCGCUCUGUCACCCAGGCUGGAGUGCAGUGACACGAACUUGACUCACUGCAGCCUCCAUCCCCUGGGUCCAAGGGAUUCUCAGGCCUCAGCCUUCCGAGUAGCUGGGACUACAGGCGCACGCACCACGCCCGGCUAAAUUAAAAAAACUGGGGGCUGGGCACAGUGGCUCAUGCCUGUAAUCCUAGCACUUUGGGAGGCUGAGGCGGGCAGAUCACCUGAGGUCAGGAGUUCGAGACCAGCCUGGCCAACAUGGUGAAACCCUGUCUCUACUAGAAAUACAAAAAUUAGCCAGGCAAGAUGGUGCACACCUGUAAUUGCAGCUACUCGGGAGGCUGAGUCAGAAUUGCUUGAACCCAGGAGGCAGAGGUCGCAGUCAGCUGAGAUCGCACCACUUCACUCCAGCCUGGGCAACAGAGCAAGAUUCCAUCUCAAAAAAAAAAAAAAAGAAAAAUUUUGUAUUUUUGUAGUACAGACGGUGUUUCACCAUGUAGCCCAGGCUGUCAACUGAGUUUUGAGCAUUUGCACUGGACGCUUCAGAGACGCCCACUGGAGUCCUCUGCCCUGUGUUCCCUGCCUGGAGCUUGCACAACCACGCAGCACGCACCUCUCAUCCUUCAGUUCUCAUCCUAAACGGCCACCCACCGCCUGCGAGAGGCCUUUUCCCACUGUGCUCUCAAUAUCCGCAAAUCACUUCCACUAAAUCUGCGCUGUGAUUGCCUCAUGACCGCUGGACUGCAUGCCUCCCCCAUUAGAAUGUCAUUUCCACUAGAACAGGGCCCUUGGGUCGUAGUUGGGGCUCAUUAAACAUUGAAUGAAUGGUUGAAUGAAAUGUCCCUUAGCUACAUGUAGGCAUCUCCCAGUCUCAGCUCUGAGGGGAGGUGGCAGGAGGCACACACAUCUGGAGCUCCUGAAGCCAGGGUGAGAACAGUGAGCUGCAGCUGAGGCUCAGAGCUCCUGGCUUCGGGGCACCCGUUCUGGAGCUGGAGGGAAGGGAAGUGUGUUGGAGGUGAGCCGGUGGCUCAGCUGGGCCAGAGCUGAGAACAGAUCACGAGGGAGGCUUGGGAAGGGCUGUCCUGCACGCUCCAUCUCCAGAGAGUUCCAAAAUUCACUUGGGGCUGGGUAUGGUGGCUCACGCCUGUAAUCCCAGGCAUGGGAGGCUGAGGCAGGAAGAUCUCUGGAAACCAGGAAUUUGAGACCAGGCUGGGCAACAUAGUGAGACCCCAUCUCUACAAAAAACUUUUAAAAAAUUAGCCAGGCAGGCCGGGCACAGCGGCUCACGCCUGUAAUCCCAACACUUUGGGAGGCUGAGGCAGGCAGAUCACCUGAGGUCGGGAGUUCGAGACCAUUCUGGUCAACAUGUUGAAACCCCAUCUCUACUAAAAAUACAAAAAUUAGGUGGAUGUGGUGGUGCGUGCCUGUAGUCCCAGCAACUCAGGAGGCUGAGGCAGGAGAAUUGCUUGAACCUGGGAGGCGGAGGCUGCAGUGAGCCGAGAUCGCCCCACUGCACUCCAGCCUAGUGACAAAGCGAGACUCUGUCUCAAAAAAAAAAAAAAAAAAGAGUGACCUCUGGUCGUCCUCACUGCUGCACUCCCACCAGCGCCAUGACAGUUUACAGAUGCCAUGGCAAUGUCAGGAAAUUACCCUCUAUGGUCUAAAAAGGGGAGGCAGGAAUAAUCCACCCCUUGUUUAGCAUAUCAUCAAGAAAUAGCCAUAAAAAUAAACAGAGCAGCCCAUGGGCUGCUGUGUCUAUGGACUAGCCAUUCUUUCACCACUUUACUUAAUAAAUUUGCUUUUGCUUUGCACUGUGGACUUGCCCUGAAUUCUUUCUUGUGUGAGAUCCAAGAACCCACUCUUGGGGUCUGGAUCAGGACUUCUUUCCGGUAACACAAGAGUGCAGGGACCGUGACCCCCUCUACCUGGAACAUCAAACAGGAGUGCAGAUGUAGUGGUGCCAAAUGAAUUUUUUUUUUUUUUUUUUGAGACGGAGUCUUGCACUGGUUGCCUGGGCUGGAGUGCAGUGGCACGAUCUGGGCUCACUGCAAUGUCCGCCUCCCGGGUUCAAUCGAUUCUUCUGCCUCAGCCUCCUGAGUAGCUGGGAUUACAGGCACCUGCCACCACAACCGGCGAUUUUUUGUAUUUUUAGUGGAGAUGGGGUUUCACUAUGUUAGUCAGGCUGGUCUCGAACUCCUGACCUCGUGAUCUGCCUGCCUCGGCCUCCCAAAAUGCUGGGAUUACAGGCGUGAGCCACCACACCUGGCAUGAAUUUUCCUUCACUGAAAUUUUUUUUAGAGACAGUCUUGCUCUGUCUCCCAGGGGGGUUUCACCAUGUUGGCCAGGCUGGUCUCAAACUCCUCACCUCAGGCAAUACACCCGCCUUGGCCUCCCAAAGUGCUGGGAUUACAGGCAUGAGCCACCACCGUGCCCGGUCAGAUCUCUUUCACUGUCAAUUUUCUCACUAUUAUGAUUUUUGCAAAGGCAGCUUCGUUCAGCCUGGGAACCUUCCAGCAUCCUGCCUCAGCUCACUAGAGGGUCAGAGCUUAUGUCACCCCAGACCUCUUGUCACCUCUGGCCAUUCUUGUCACCAUCUUGGUUUUGGUGGGUUUUAGCCAGCUUCUUUAUUGCAACCUGUUUUCUCAGCAAGGUCUUUAUGACAUGUGUCUUGUGCUGACCUCCUGUCUCAUCCUGUGACUUAGAAUGCCAUAACCAUCUGGGAAUGCAGCCAAGUAGGUCUCAGCUUCUUCACCCAGCUCCUAUUCAAGAUGGAGUUGCUCUGGUUCAAAUACCUCUGACACUUGGGCUAACAGUGUGGAUGGGAGGGGAAGACAGGAUUAAAGGAACAGUCACAAAUAAUGAAUUACAGUUAUCAGAAGAGACAGCAGAGGGCUGAGUGUGGUGGCUCCAUGCCUUGUAAUCCCAGUACCUUGUCAGGCCGAGGUGGGCGAAUCACCGGAGGUCAGGAGUUUGAGACCAGCCCUGCUCCAGAGGCUGAGUCAGGAGAAUGACUUGAACCUGGGAGGUGGAGGUUGCAGUGAGCCAAGAUUGUGCCAUUGCACUCCAGCCUGGGUGACAGAGCGCGACUCUGUUUCAAAAAAAAAGAGAGAUCUGAGCUAAGCAACUCCCUCUUGCCUUUAACCUCCAAACUGCCCUUGAUCAUUCUGGGGGCAUGGGCCAAGCUAAUUUUGGGAGGAAUUUAGUUUAUGGUUUAACCUUAAAGCGAGGAUGAAAAUAACCCUUCCCAAAACUAAACCGGAUUGGUAAGACUAAUGAAAGGCUACAAGGUCAGGAUUGUGAGAGGGGCCUGAAUUAUGUAAAAUGUAGGUGUAGUUAUAAAUGAUUACCAGCCAUUGUUCCGGGGCUCAUAAGAUUUGCAAUUUCUCCAGUUGCUCCUGUAAGUAACAUCACUAUUGUAUAAUUUAAGAUUGGCCUUUUGUGAUAUCUUUUCAGACUUUGUAUUUCUGAAGACCAGGUGCUCCACCCAGCCAGAGACUCAGGACUCAGCUGGUCCUGUGGCCCCUACCCAGAAGUGGAAUCAGUAGAGAGGACCAGUUUCCAUACCCCUAUGAUUGCAUCCCCAACCAGUCAGCCACACCCACCCUCUAGCCACCUGCCCACCAAACUAUCUUUAAAAACCCUAGUCUCUGAAUUUUCCAGGAGGGUAAAUUGAGUAACAGCAAAACUGUGGUCUCCUGUUUAACCAACUUUGUGUGAAUUAAACUCUUUCCUUUGCAAUUU